AUUGAACGCUGGCGGCAGGCCUAACACAUGCAAGUCGAACGGUAACAGGAAGCAGCUUGCUGCUUUGCUGACGAGUGGCGGACGGGUGAGUAAUGUCUGGGAAACUGCCUGAUGGAGGGGGAUAACUACUGGAAACGGUAGCUAAUACCGCAUAACGUCGCAAGACCAAAGAGGGGGACCUUCGGGCCUCUUGCCAUCGGAUGUGCCCAGAUGGGAUUAGCUAGUAGGUGGGGUAACGGCUCACCUAGGCGACGAUCCCUAGCUGGUCUGAGAGGAUGACCAGCCCACCGGGAAAGGAGACACGGGCCAAACCCCUAGGGGAGGCAGCAGGGGGGAAUAUGGCAAAAGGGGGGAAAGCCGAAGGCAGCCAUGCGGGGUGGAAGAAGAAGGCCUUCGGGUUGUAAAGUACUUUCAGCGGGGAGGAAGGGAGAAAAGUUAAUACCUUUGCUCAUUGACGUUACCCGCAGAAGAAACACCGGAUAACCCCGU
rnacentral:rRNA from 1 species